GCCACCAGACUAAAGGACGUUCAAAGAAAGACGGGUGCCCCUGAAGCACCAGGAUGGAGUCAGCCCCGUGAGACACCCACUAAGCAGUUGUGAACUCCUAGAUGACCCAACCGAUGAUGGAAAUGUUCUAAAAGUGGAUUUUAGUGAUGGUUGUGCAACCCAGUAAAUUUACUACAAAUCACUGAAUUCAUUCUUCAAGCAAGUUAAUUUCAUGGAAUACAAAUCCUAUCUCAAUAAAGAUGGUUUUUAAAAAACCUGUGUGAUGAA